UACAGAGGUCUCAAGCGUUGUUCGGAAUCACUGGGCGUAAAGGGUGCGUAGGCCGCACGGUAAGUCAGGUGUGAAAGCCUGGAGCUCAACUCCGGAAUUGCACCCGAUACUGCCGUGCUUGAGGACUGGAGAGGAGUCUGGAAUUCACAGUGGAGCAGUGAAAUGCGUAGAUAUUGUGAGGAACACUAGUGGCGAAGGCGAGACUCUGGACAGUCCCUGACGCUGAGGCACGAAGGCCAGGGGAGCAAACGGG
rnacentral:rRNA from 1 species